rnacentral:rRNA from 1 species
GCAUCGAUGAAGAACGCAGCGAAAUGCGAUACGUAAUAUGAAUUGCAGAUAUUCGUGAAUCAUCGAAUCUUUGAACGCACAUUGCGCCCUCUGGUAUUCCGGAGGGCAUGCCUGUUUGAGCGUCGUUUCUCCCUCAAACCGCUGGGUUUGGUGUUGAGCAAUACGACUUGGGUUUGCUUGAAAGACGGUAGUGGUAAGGCGGGAUCGCUUUGACAAUGGCUUAGGUCUAACCAAAAACAUUGCUUGCGGCGGUAACGUCUACCACGUAUAUCUUCAAACUUUGACCUCAAAUCAGGUAGGACUACCCGCUGAACUUAAGCAUAUCAAUAAGCGGAGGA